rnacentral:rRNA from 1 species
GACGAACGCUGGCGGCGUGCUUAACACAUGCAAGUCGAGCGGAAAGACUCCAACUUUCUUGCGUACACGAUUGGCGAACGCGUGUGUAACACAUGUGUGACCUCCCCUUAACUUACGGAUAUAACUUCGAGACUCGGGCUCAUACCGGGUAGGAUCUCUCCGUCCGGGUGGGGUGGAAGUGUUUUUCGGUGUUGGUUGCGCCUGCGGACUAUCAGCUUCUUGGUUGGUAAUGGCCUACGAAGGCGGCGACCGGUAGCCGGCCUGAGAGGGUGGACGGCCACAUGGGGACUGAGACACGGCCCAGAAGCCUACGGGAGGCAGCAGGGGGGAAUAUGGCAGAAUGGGCGGAAGUCUGAGGCAGCGACGCCGGGUGGGGGAUGACGGCCUUCGGGUGGUAAACUACUGUCUCCAUCGACGAAGGGGUUCUGACGGUAGAUGGAGAAGAAGCACCGGCUAACUACGUG